UACGUAGGGUGCAAACGUUGUCCGGAAUUAUUGGGCGUAAAGAGCUCGUAGGCGGUCUGUCGCGUCGGCUGUGAAAACUCGGGGCUCAACCCCGAGCCUGCAGUCGAUACGGGCAGACUAGAGUGCUGUAGGGGAGACUGGAAUUCCUGGUGUAGCGGUGAAAUGCGCAGAUAUCAGGAGGAACACCGGUGGCGAAGGCGGGUCGUCUGGGCAGUAACUGACGCUGAGGAGCGAAAGCGUGGGGAGCGAACAGG
rnacentral:rRNA from 1 species